AUAUUAAUAAGCGGAGGAAAAGAAACUAACAAGGAUUUCCUUAGUAGUGGCGAACGAAACGGGAAGAGUCCAUUCCUGGAAUCCGUAAGGAGUUGUGGAGUGGGGCACCGCGGCAUGAGUUUGUGGUUUUGGGGCAAGUUUCCUUGAAAGGAGCCUUGUAGAGGGUGAUAAGCCCGUGGUCCCUUGACUGCUUAUUUGCGGCGCGAGUGCUUGGAGUCGGGCUGUUUGGGAAUGCAGCCUGAAGUGGGUGGUAGACACCAUCUGAGACUAAAUAUUGGCACGAGACCGAUAGCGCACAAGUA
rnacentral:rRNA from 1 species